GUAGAAGUUACUUGGCAUGUGUGAGGCAAAUGGAUGUGACAUAGUGAGUGGUCACUAAUGCAAGUUCAUUUAUGAAUGGUUAUUGACUAUUUUAACAAGGCACUAGAGGGCUCAAGUAUAGAUCUGUCAUAAACCAGUAUCUCUGUGUAGAUUGAUCUUGGGAAACAAACAAUUACAUGACCGCCACUGCUAAGCAAGAAAUCUUGAAGGAAAAAAGAACGGCUAGAUGGAAAAGUAUUGCCUCCUGCAAAAUAGAGAGAAAUGUAAAGGAGAUUGGUGCAAAGGGAAGAGGAUCUUUAUAGCAUGUGUCAGAUUUGGGAUAUU